rnacentral:misc_RNA from 1 species
AUAUAAGAGAUUUUAAAGGAAUGUGACACAUUCUAGUACUACGAAUUUAAAUAGUGUCCAGAUUCGUAGUAAUGCGAUAUGUCAUAUCCUCUAAAAUCCCUUGUAUUAUG